rnacentral:lncRNA from 1 species
GAACAUUUCUUCUCUUGGGCAGGGAUGACGAGAGUAUAUCGUGUGCCUUAUGCCAUCUCAUCAUCCUAGCAAGUGUCCAAAAUCAACACCGGGACUCCCAUGUGUCAGCUGAAGCAAUGGUUGUUCAACAAAAGGCUUGACAGCCGUGGCCUGAGAGAUAAAGAACUCAGGUAAUAACUACCAAAGCGUGAGCAGCCAGGCCCCUGCCAUCACACUCUUACACCUGGCAGUUCCCAGCUUUCUGGCCCCGAGUGAUGAACUCCUGAAAUCC